rnacentral:rRNA from 1 species
GAUGAACGCUGGCGGAGUGCCUAAUGCAUGCAAGUCGAGCGAACGGACGAGAAGCUUACUUUUCUGAUGUUAGCGGCGGACGGGUGAGUAACACGUGGAUAACCUACCUAUAAGACUGGGAUAACUUCGGGAAACCGGAGCUAAUACCGGAUAAUAUUUUGAACCGCAUGGUUCAAAAGUGAAAGACGGUCUUGCUGUCACUUAUAGAUGGAUCCGCGCUGCAUUAGCUAGUUGGUAAGGUAACGGCUUACCAAGGCAACGACGCAUAGCCGACCUGAGAGGGUGAUCGGCCACACUGGAACUGAGACACGGUCCAGACUCCUACGGGAGGCAGCAGUAGGGAAUCUUCCGCAAUGGGCGAAAGCCUGACGGAGCAACGCCGCGUGAGUGAUGAAGGUCUUCGGAUCGUAAAACUCUGUUAUUAGGGAAGAACAUAUGUGUAAGUAACUGUGCACAUCUUGACGGUACCUAAUCAGAAAGCCACGGCUAACUACGUG